rnacentral:rRNA from 1 species
AGAAAAUAGAUACCCAGGUAGUCCACGCCGUAAACGAUGGAUGCUAGCUGUAUUCGGUAUCGACCCCGGAUGUAGCGAAAGCUAACGCGUUAAGCAUCCCGCCUGUGGAGUACGGUCGCAAGACUAAAACAUAAAGGAAUUGACGGGGACCCGCACAAGCGGUGGAGCGUGUUGUUUAAUUCGAUGGUAAGCGAAGAACCUUACCCAGGUUUGACAUCCUUGGAAUUUCUGCGAAAGCAGAGAGUGCUUUUAGAGCCAAGUGACAGGUGUUGCAUGGCCGUCGUCAGCUCGUGUCGUGAGAUGUUUGGUUAAGUCCAUCAACGAGCGCAACCCUUGUGAUUAGUUGAAUUUUUCUAAUCAGACUGCCCUGGUAACAGGGAGGAAGGGGGGAUGAUGUCAGGUCAGUAUUACCCUUACACCUGGGGCCACAAACACGCUACAAUGGCCGGUACAAAGGGCAGCCAAGUCGUGAGACGGAGCAAAUCCCAUCAAAGCCGGUCCCAGUUCGGAUAGCAGGCUGAAACUCGCCUGCUUGAAGUCGGAA